CCUACGGGUGGUAGCAGUGGGGGAUAUUGCACAAUGGGGGAAACCCUGAUGCAGCGACGCCGCGUGUGGGAAGACGGUCCUCUGGAUUGUAAACCACUGUCCCCAGGGACGAAGAUGACGGUACCUGGGGAGGAAGCUCCGGCUAACUACGUGCCAGCAGCCGCGGUAAUACGUAGGGAGCAAGCGUUGUCCGGAAUUACUGGGUGAAAAGGGAGCGUAGGCGGGAUGGAAAGUUGGGUGUUAAAUCUACCGGCUCAACUGGUAGUCGCACCCAAAACUGCUAUUCUUGAGUGAAGUAGAGGCAGGCGGAAUUCCUGGUGUAGCAGUGAAAUGCGUAGAUAUUAGGAGGAACACCAGUGGCGAAGGCGGCCUGCUGGGCUUUUACUGACGCUGAGGCUCGAAAGUGUGGGGAGCAAACGGGAUUAGAUACCCUUGUAGUC
rnacentral:rRNA from 1 species